rnacentral:rRNA from 1 species
UACAGAGGGGGCAAGCGUUGUUCGGAAUUACUGGGCGUAAAGGGCGCGUAGGCGGCCUGUUAAGUCGGUGGUGAAAUCCUGGAGCUCAACUCCAGAACUGCCUUCGAUACUGGGAGUCUCGAGUUCGGGAGAGGUGAGUGGAACUGCGAGUGUAGAGGUGAAAUUCGUAGAUAUUCGCAAGAACACCAGUGGCGAAGGCGGCUCACUGGCCCAAUACUGACACUCAGGUGCGACAGCGUGGGGAGCAAACAGG